GGAAGUGUGGCCGAGUGGUUUAAGGCAGCAGUCUUGAAAACUGCCGUGGGUGUGAGCCCACCGUGAGUUCGAAUCUCACCGCUUCCGCCA
rnacentral:tRNA from 2 species